rnacentral:rRNA from 1 species
CCCAAGAGUUCAUAUCGACGGGGGAGUUUGGCACCUCGAUGUCGGCUCAUCACAUCCUGGGGCUGUAGCUGGUCCCAAGGGUAUGGCUGUUCGCCAUUUAAAGUGGUACGUGAGCUGGGUUUAAAACGUCGUGAGACAGUUUGGUCCCUAUCUGCCGUGGGCGCUGGAAGUUUGAGGGGACCUGCUCCUAGUACGAGAGGACCGGAGUGGACGUAUCUCUGGUGUACCGGUUAUGACGCCAGUCGUAUCGCCGGGUAGCUAUAUACGGAAGAGAUAACCGCUGAAAGCAUCUAAGCGGGAAACUCGCCUCAAGAUGAGACUUCCCUGGUAACUUGAUUACCCUGAAGGGUCGUGGAAGACUACCACGUUGAUAGGUCAGGUGUGGAAGCCCAGUAAUGGGUUAAGCUAACUGAUACUAAUUGCCCGUGCGGCUUGAUCCUAUAACAUUAG